rnacentral:rRNA from 1 species
GAUGUAUGAUCCAUAAUUAAUGAUUAAGAGAUUAAAUUACCUUAGGGAUAACAGCAUAAUUCUUUUUGAGAGUUCAUAUUGAAAAAAGAGAUUGUGACCUCGAUGUUGGAUUAAGAUUAGUUUUGGGUGCAGAUGUUCAAUAACUAGGUCUGUUCGACCUUGAAAAUCUUACA